GAGCGAGCGGCGGGUGUCCCUGAGAGGCCACCUUUCGACCUUCGAGGGCCAGGAGGAUACGGGGAGGUGGCCGGAGGGAGUUCCCGAACACAGGUCUUCCUGUUCCCGCCGAGCAGGUGUUGGCGGUGCCAGGCCCGGCCUGGCGGGCCCGGGCUGGCAGCCAAAUACCCAGCGUCUGUGCUCGGGACGGGAGUGUUCGUCCAGGACGUGCAGCUCCGGAGCCUGCGCGGGCGACCUUGACCACCUUUGUCGGCUGUUUCCCCCUGAGGGAAGUAUACCUGUCCUGCCAGCCUUGGUCUCUGGCAGGGAAGGUCCUUCCAACAGAGAGGGGUGCGCACGAAUUCCUUUUUGCCGCUCUUCUAUUAAUAGUUUGAGAUUUUCCUCCCCGAUUCCUUGCAGAGAGGGCCUGGUCCUCAAGGACCUCGGGAUCUGGGCGCGACGUCCCUUCCCAGCUUCCUCCCGCGCGCACCGGACCAGAUCUUGCUGUCGUCAGCUGGCUGGUACCCAAAGUUCCUCUUCGUCAGGCUGUUCCUUCCCCGUUAGAGUCCUUCCUCCCCAGGAGCCCUCUCCAUCUGCUGACCUUCAAGACCCAGAGCGAAUGCCACUUCAUCCAUGAAGCCUUCCCUUAACCCUUAUCUGGCCAAAAUGUCUCUUUCCUGUGCUUCUGUACUUUCACAAUUUUAGAAAAUGCCUUUGUGGUUAAAAACCUAUCUCCGGGACCGGACUAUCUAGGUUUAGAUUCUGGCUGCCGCUUACGAAUUUGGGCAGGUUUAGUCAAGUUAUUUUAACCUCUCUGUGGAAGUUCCUGCUCUGUGGAAAUAAUAGUAUUUUCCUCAGAGUUGGUGUGGGGAGUUUGUGAGUUAAUACAUUUACGAAGUGGUUAGUUGCAUGUAAGAAGGACUCUCUAAAUGUCAGCUAUUAUUAACAUUGCAUAUCUGCCACACCCUUCAUAGAUGGUAAACUGCUUUUUUUUUUUUUUUUACUUUUAUUUUAGGUUCGGGAUACAUGCACAGGUUUGUUUUAUAGAUAAAUUGCUUGUCAUGUGGGUUUGUUGUACAAAUUAUUUUGUCACCCAGAUAGUAAGCAUAGUACUUGACAGGUAUUUUUUCUGAUCCUCUCCCUCCUCCCACCCUCUAGCCUCAAGUAGGUCCCAGUGUCUGUUGUUCUCUUCUUUGUGUCCAUGUGUUCUCAAUGUUUAGCUCCCACUUACAAGUCAGAACAUGCAGUAUUUGGUUUUCUCUUCCGCAUUAGUUCACUUAGGAUAAAGGCCUCCAGCUCCAUCCAUGUUGCUACAAAGGACAUGAUCUCUUUCUUUUUUAUGGCUGCAUAGUAGUCCAUGGUGUAUAUGUACCGUAUUUUCUUCAGUCUACUGGUGAUGGGCAUUUAGGUUGAUGCCAUGUCUUUACGAUUGUGAAUAGUGCUGCAGUGAACAUACAUGUACAUAUAUCUUUAUGGUAGAAUGAUUUAUAUUCUUUUGGGUAUAGACCCAAUACUGGGAUUGUUGGGUCGAAUGGUAAUUCUGUUUUAAGUUCUUUGAGAAAUCGCCACACUGCUUUCCGCGGUUACUGAACUAAUUUACAUUCCCACCAGCAUUGUAUAAGCAUUCCCUUUUCUCCACAACCUCACCAGAAACCAGCAUCUGUUAUUUCUUGACUUUUAUUAAUAGCCAUUCUGACUGGUGUGAGAUGAUAUCUCAUUGUAGUUUUGAUUUGGGUUUCUCUAGUGAUUAGUGAUGUUGAGUAUUUUAUAUGCUUGUUGGCCAUGUAGCUUCUUUUGGCUAGGGACCUGUGAGUCUCCCUAGGUUUCUUGCACUUACUAAGCCUUCAACAAAUGGUAGAAGAGUCAAUUCUCUUGGUGUUUCAGAAGAAAACAAUAUCACAGCCCCUCUCCACUGGAUAAUACUAUAAAUCUUAAAAUGAAUUUUCAUUCAGAGUAAUAAACACAAGCCAAAGAACUUUGUAUAACAUCCGUCAACUUUUUGUGUUAUCUAUUUCUUUUCCAAAACAUUGCCUCUGGUUUUAAAGGUAACUGCCCACAGUGUUUCACUAAUAACAUUUUAAGCAUUACAAGUUCAACACUGAAGGUCAAAUGACAACGAACUUUCAGUGCUUCCAAAAGCAGGGGCAGAGGGCAACUGCUGAGGGGGGCAUUGUAUAGCCUAACCUUCCCAGAAUUUGAUUUAAAAGUAUGAUCUUCACAGCGUUGGCCAGCAAUAUCAUGGUCACUCCCUACGUCAUUCCCUGGGAGAAAAACAACCCUAGGUUACCUAAACAAUGUUGGCGAAGACCAAAUAUUUAUUAACAUCCUAAGCCGCCCCAUAAUCAAGCCAAUGCUGAUAGGGACAAAGAAGGUGCCAUGUGCAGUUUUUCUCCAUGUCCCCACAAUAUCUGCUCUGAAUUUUAAAAGGCAAUUACUGGGGGAGAAGGAAGCCUAUAUAUUAUGUAGGAUCCAAGUCUCAAACUGCUUUCCUAGGGAGUGUGAGGUUCUUGGAGAUUAAGUGCAGUACCUUUCUGUCUUGAGCCUUGUAGGCUGCCCCUCUAAUUUAAUGCCAGUCUUGAAAUAAACAGAAUGCUUUCCAAGUCAUCGCUAAUUUUAACACUUUAAAUUUAGAAUUGCUUAGAAUUGACUCAACACUGCCUCCUUGCUGAAUGGAUAAUUCAAGCAAACAACUCAAGAGCUGGAUGCUGCCCAGACAGUGGAAAAGAGGAACUGGGAACCCAUAUAGCAACAGCAUCACCUGGAAUGAAUUCCUUUAGAACAUACUGUCUUGGAAAUCUGAAGCCUGCAGGGCUGGACAGGCAAGAAGAGCAGUGAGCACUGCAUGAACCUAGUCUUGCUGUGUCGCCCAAGCUGGAGUUCAGUGGCACCAUCCUGGCUCACUGCAACUGCUGCCUCCCAGGUUCAAGUGAUUCUCCUGCCUCAGCCUCCCGAGUAGCUGGGAUUACAUGUGCCUGCCACCACGCCUGGCAAGUUUUUGUAUUUUUAGUAGAAAUGGUGUUUUACCAUGUUGGCCAAGACUGGCCUAGAACUCCAGACCUCAAGUGAUCCACCCGCCUCAGCAGCCCAAAGUGGUGGGAUUACAGGCAUGAGCAACUGUGCCUGGCCUAGCCAUUUUCUAUAAACCUGAAAAUAGAUGCCAGAAAAGAAGGUGCCGCUAUAAAAUGCUUUCUUGAGUGAUUUAUGUCUAACAUACAAUUAAACAUUUAUGAGAAGGAAAUUAUCAGGUUAAAAUAUAAACUCACUUGCCAAUUAUUUGAUUUUCAGGAUAUCUGACUUUUGUUAAUUACUGAAAAUAAAGUAUUAUUUCUAAUCACUAUUGGUAUCACAAUAGCAUUUUUAUUUGGCCGGUAUGUGUGAGGCCUGGAGUAUGACGGGAAACUGUCCUAGAAAAGGCCCUUGCAUUGGCUGUAGAGAGUUCUGGAACUCUCAAGAUGGCAAGAUUGUAUUUAACUCUUUUAAAAACAAUGCACCUUUUCAAGCACAGAUUUUCAUCUGAUGUUGUGACCGUCAAUUAUGUCAGAUUUGUUUGAUAUAUUAAAAAAUUGGUUUCUCCUUUGCACAAAAUAAAUUAUAGAUGGAUAUAAGAUUUAAAUAUUUUAAACAAUAUAGGGAAAAUAAUAUAUUUGAAACAUAGUAUUAGGGUAGAAUAGACUUUCCUAAUCAUGGCACAAUCUCAGAAGCUAUAAAGAAAAUAAUUGACUUUGCAUGGCUAUAGACACCAUAAAUAAAUAUGUGAUAACAUGGAAGAAUAUUUGCAACAUGCUUAUUAGUCACAUCUGUUAUAUAGUCAGAGCUUCAUUGUAUUGGUGGAAAAAUUAGGAUAUAAAGAAAUUCAGAAAAGAAUAAAUACAAAUAACCAGUAAACAUGUCCAAAAUCAUCCUCAUUAUAAAAUUGAAACCACGCUGAUUUAUCAAUGUUUACCCAUUAGACUGACAAACAUUUUAAAUGUUCAAAAAAUAGUGUUGAGGGAAAAGAGCAAUGACAUGCACUAUUGGGGAGACUGUCAAUGAAUAAAGCCUUUUCUUGUAUUUUGGUAAUAACAGUCAAAAUGCACAUAAUACCAUUUGACCAAGCAAUUUCUCCUCUAGGAAUCUAUCCUAAAGAAAUUUAUACAAGUUUUCAAAGAUAGGUAUGUAGGCAUACAGUUAUGCAUUGUAGCUUUGCUUUAACAGAAAAAGAGUAAACACAUGUAUUAUUUUUGUAGCCUAAAAAAAAAUCAAGUUUUCAUUGAAAAUAAAAAUGACAGGUUUGAAGCAGGACAGUGGCCAUGGAAGUCGAAUCCACUAAGGCGUGUGUAACAAGUCACCUGCUGAGUCAACAAAAAUAAAUAAAAAUUUUUUAAAAACAGGCUUGAGAGACACUUCACAGGAAUAGAAAAUUUAGAUAGUUUCUAACAAUGACAAUGAAGUAGGACAGGAAAAAGUAAUUCUCCAAAGCAAAGUAUGUAUGUGUGUAGUAACUUAAAACUUCAGAUACUAUGAGAAACUAUUUUUAAAUAAAGAACAAUGUGGUGUGCUACAGUUUAGAGUUGAUCUGGAAAUCUGGGGAGCUAUUGAUGCUCCUUAGUUAAUAAAUUAGUGAUUUUUAAAAAUAUGAAUCCCCAUUAUCCGUAGCAAACUAACGCAGGAACAGAAAACCAAAUACUGCCAAAUACUGCAUGUUCUCAUAAGUGGGGCUGAAUGAUGAAGAACACAUGGAUACAUGAAGGGGAAUAACACACACUGGGGCCUGUCAGGGGUGGGAGUAGGAGGAAGGAGGGCAUCAGAAAGAACAGCUAAUGGAUGCUUGGCUGAAUAGCUAGGUGACAGGAUGAUCUAUGCAGCAAACCACCACGGCACACAUUUACCUAUGUAACAAACCUGCACAUCCUGCACAUGUACUCCUGAACUUGAGAAUUGAAGAAAAAAAAUGAAUCCCACAAUUCUGUAUCCAAAGACCGAGAACAGCUCCUGACAUCGAACAGACAAUAAAUAUUGGCUGAAGGAAUGAAUGAGGAUAUUUGCAUCCGAGUUUUAAUUAGAAUAGAUGUAAAAUUGCCUAAUGAUUAUUACUUGUUCUGCAACAAGUGUUUAAUAGAUACUAGUUCACUACUUAUACGUGUCUAACACAUCACAAAGGUUUAUUUAAAAGAAUUUAUAUAGUGCUUAUUAUAUGUUGGGUACUGUUCUAAGUUCUUCACAAACACUAACUCAUUCAAGUUGUAUAAGUGAAGCAGGUGGUCUAAUUAUUCCAUUUAACAGAUGAGGCAAUUGAGGCAAAGAGCAAUUAAGUAACUUGCCCACGAUGGCACAGCUAGACAAUGGUGGGGAUAUGAACACAGUCUGCCUCCAGGGUCACUUCUCCAUGGUGCCAUAUUGCAUCCCACACGGUAAAAACUUACUAAAUGUAAGAAUGCAUAAAGUGUUACUGUUUUUGAAAUUAUAUUAUGCUUUUGCCCCAGAAAGUCAGAAUAUUUGAUAUCAAAUCAUGUCUAAAAAUCAUUCCCACAACUUCCCUUUGAGGUAGAGCAUAUUUCUAAAAUCAUGUUUUAGUGUAUUACUGGUUUAAUAGUUGUGUUUAAAAAGAACAUGGGAGGUCAUUGUUCCUAUGAUAAAAUCACUGUAUUUGUUUUUUGACAUCAUAUUCAUUUCCAUGACAACACUUCCAAGUUCCAAACACAGAAACAUCUUGCUCUAGAAAUGGAAGAGGCAUAGGGCCUACAGAGAAUUACAUAACAAUGUCAAAAUUGUUUAAAGGGGUAAGGUUGUUUGUGUGUAUUUUAAUCUUUUGCAUAACUAAAGCAAUGAGUCUCCAACUUUUUCAAUCAGGAAUCUUUUUUUUGUAUCUAAGCUUUGUAGGCUUUUUUGUUUUAAGAUGGAGUCUCUGUUGCCAGGCUGGAGUGCAGUGGCAUGAUCAUAGCUUAUCACAGCCUCAAAUUCCUGGGCAAAAGCAAUCCUUCCACCUCAGCCUCCCAAGUAGCUGGAAUUAUAAGCACAACCCACCCUGCUGGCUAGUUUUUGUUUUUUGUUUGUUUUUGUUUUUGAGAUGGAGUUUUGCUCUUGUUGCCCCGGCUAGAGUGCAAUGGCAUGAUCUCGGCUCACCUCAAUCUCCACCUCCUGGGUUCAGGUGAUUCUCCUGCCUCAGCCUCCCAAGUAGCUGGGAUCACAGGCAUGCGCCACCACACCCGGCUAAUUUUGUAUUUUUAGUAGACAGGGUUUCUCCAUGUUGGUCAGGCUGGUCUCGAACUCCCAACCUCAGGUGAUCUGCCCACCUCAGCCUCCCAAAGUGCUGGGAUUACAGGCCUGAGCCACCGCGCCCAGCCAGUUUUUAUUUUAACCUUAGUUUAACUCCAUUCCAUAACAAUACCAGUGUUUCUUUUUUUCAUGAUUCAUUCAUUCAUUCAUUCAUUCAUUCCAUAAAUAUUUAUUGACCACCUACUAUGCGCCAGCAUUGCACUAGGUGCUAAGAAUAACAUGAUGAACAAAAAGACAAAAUCCCUUUCUUCACGGAUUGAAAUCUAAUGGGGAAACAGAUAAUAACAGUAUUGCACAAAUGAAAUACUAAGAUUACUAAACUGUAGCCAUAUCUGAGUGCUACAUAUCUUAAUAAUCUGAGAUUACUAAAUUACAGCCAUGGUAAGUGCCACAUAUCUUCAUGGAAAAAGUCCAUGAAAGCAUAAAAUAGAGGGAAUUAAUCUAGUUGAGGCCAGUUCUUUCCCCCUCAGAAUCUUCCAUCCAGCAUGGAUAGCAUUCCACUUCUAAUUCCUACCCCAGCUAUACCUCUUAGACCUUACAGUUUGCACAUACGACAAAGUUCUGGAGUCCAUGUUGGCAGCCAAUGUUUUUAAGAGAAAAUGGCCC
rnacentral:lncRNA from 1 species